rnacentral:rRNA from 1 species
AGGGGUAUAGUUCUUCGGAAUUAGAGACCGGCGCACGGGUGCGUAACGCGUAUGCAAUCUACCUUUCACAGAGGGAUAGCCCAGAGAAAUUUGGAUUAAUACCUCAUAGUAUAUAGACCUGGCAUCGGGAUUAUAUUAAAGUCACAACGGUGAAAGAUGAGCAUGCGUCCCAUUAGCUAGUUGGUAAGGUAACGGCUUUCCAAGGCUACGAUGGGUAGGGGUCCUGAGAGGGAGAUCCCCCACACUGGUACUGAGACACGGACCAGACUCCUACGGGAGGCAGCAGUGAGGAAUAUUGGUCAAUGGACGCAAGUCUGAACCAGCCAUGCCGCGUGCAGGAUGACGGUCCUAUGGAUUGUAAACUGCUUUUGCACAGGAAGAAACAACGCUACGUGUAGCGUCUUGACGGUACUGUGAGAAUAAGGAUCGGCUAACUCCGUGCCAGCAGCCGCGGUAAUACGGAGGAUCCAAGCGUUAUCCGGAAUCAUUGGGUUUAAAGGGUCCGUAGGCGGUUUAGUAAGUCAGUGGUGAAAGCCCAUCGCUCAACGGUGGAACGGCCAUUGAUACUGCUAGACUUGAAUUAUUAGGAAGUAACUAGAAUAUGUAGUGUAGCGGUGAAAUGCUUAGAGAUUACAUGGAAUACCAAUUGCGAAGGCAGGUUACUACUAAUGGAUUGACGCUGAUGGACGAAAGCGUGGGUAGCGAACAGGAUUAGAUACCCUGGUAGUCCACGCCGUAAACGAUGGAUACUAGCUGUUGGGAGCAAUUUCAGUGGCUAAGCGAAAGUGAUAAGUAUCCCACCUGGGGAGUACGUUCGCAAGA